GACCUCAGAUCAGGCAGGAUUACCCGCUGAACUUAAGCAUAUCAAUAAGCGGAGGAAAAGAAACUAACAAGGAUUCCCCUAGUAACGGCGAGUGAAGCGGGAAGAGCUCAAAUUUGUAAUCUGGCACCUUCGGUGUCCGAGUUGUAAUCUCGAGAAGUGUUUUCCGCGCUGGACCGCAUACAAGUCUGUUGGAAUACAGCGUCAUAGUGGUGAGAACCCCGUACCUGAUGCGGAUGCCCGGUGCUUUGUGAUACACUUUCGAAGAGUCGAGUUGUUUGGGGAUGCAGCUCAAAUAGGGUGGUAAAUUCCAUCUAAAGCUAAAUAUUGGCGAGAGACCGAUAGCGAACAAGUACCGUGAGGGAAAGAUGAAAAGCACUUUGGAAAGAGAGUUAACAGUACGUGAAAUUGUUGGAAGGGAAACGCUUGAAGUCAG
rnacentral:rRNA from 1 species